rnacentral:rRNA from 1 species
GACGAACGCUGGCGGCGUGCUUAACACAUGCAAGUCGAACGGAAAGACGAUGCUUUUGUGGCGUGCUCGGGUGGGGAACGGGUGAGUAACACGCGAGUAGCCUGCCCCUGACUUUGGGAUAACAUCCGGAGACUGCGGCUCAUACCGCAUAGGAGCUCCUGCGGCGUGGUGGGGGUUGGCUAGUUACGGCGGUUGGGGAUGGACUCGCGGCUUAUCAGCGUGUUGGUGGGGUAGUGGCUUACCCAGGCUUUGGCGGGUAGCCGGCCUGAGAGGGUGAGCGGCAACGAUGGGACUGAGACAGGGCGCAGCCGCGUACGGGAGGCAGCAGUGGGGAAUAUUGCAAACUGGGGGGGAGGCGGAUGUAAAGAAGCCGCGAGCGUGAUAACGGACUUUGGGUUGUGAACAGCUGUGGCCUGUGACGAGGCGGUAGUGACGGUAAUGGGUAAAGAAGCACCGGCUAACUACGUG